AUUUUUUUGCUGCUACACUUAAGAUCGCAAACGUAACCUCAUUUUUUGACAUAAUUUGUUUCAAUACGGUUCUUUUCGUAAUGUACCAUUAACAUGACAUCCAACUCUAUAACUGGCUUUCCAAGGAGAUUGAGAGAAGCUUUAAGUGAUGGAAAAACUGAAUAUGCUGCAAAACUAUUCAGUUUGGAGAAAAAUGCCAAAGAAAUUCUAAACAAUUCUUGGGACAUCAUUCCCGUGCUUACAGAGAAUUUAAAUAUCCAAAUUCAGAACGUUAAUAACGAAGUAUUCAACUGCAGUAAGCACUUGCUAAAUGUCCUCAGUGAACAGUCCCAACCCCAAGAAGCAUUGUUGCAAUUAGUGACUGAACUUGAAGAGGCGAAAGAUGAUGUGAACUUUGUUGCUUUGUUAGAUCCUGUAUUUAAUAUUAUCCUUCGAAUUCUAGAGAAAAGAGGUAACUCUUUGGCCUGGUGUUUCAACUCCAUUCAGGGUUACCUAGAAAAAUGUGAACCACCCGAUUAUAAAAACUUGAAUGACAAAGAAAGACUUUUUGUGGAAAACAAUCACAACGCGAAGAGAAUCAUUAGACUUUAUGACGAAGUGUUAGUGUUCUAUAACAAAAUAGCAAAAAAUUUUAACAGUUUCGAUGCUGAAGCGCAAAGUGUGGUGCAAAAGUUUUUAAUUCAGUUGUUAGGAAAACCUCUUUGUUAUUUGUCAAUGGAGAAGUUUGGGGACAUCAAAACCCGAGCAAGAGGUUAUGCUGAAACUAUUGUUGAAAUGAUUUCGGGUACCUUGUCGGAUCCGAUUGUGUUUCUUGAAUACAAGCAGGACAAAUUUAAUGAUGAAUUAAUAGUUCCUGGUUCCUUAGGAUUGGCAAAUUUAUUUUAUCUAUUAUAUGGUGAAGUUGUUCAAAUUGAUAACAUACCCAAAGUUUAUCAUCCUGUUUAUAUAUUUCAAGUUUGUUUACAUCUUUUGUAUGUAUUACUGGAUCAACAAAAUCAAAUAUCAUCUGAGAAAGGGUUGAAAUUAGGUGAAUUUUUGUUGCUCCAAGUAAAAGACACAAAACUGAGUUAUUUGUUGCUGGGGUCCAAAGAUCACAGCCUUUUUUGUAAAGCCUUAACCGAUGUUAUCGUUUAUCAUCCUUCUAAACAGGUCAGGACUAGAGCGCUCGACCUAUUCAAAUGCUACUUGCUAGCGUUUGAAGUGCGCGCAACUUAUUUGAUUAUUUUUAAUUUAUUGGACACGUUGACACAUUCGGGGCUUAUGGGUUACAUCAUAACUAUAUACAAAGACCUACUGAACAAGGCAUUGUGUUCAGGAAAAGAUGAUUCGUUGAAAUAUUUUAAGGGACCCAAAUUAUUUAGGCUUCUAAGAAAAUUCUGCCAUCUUAGUGAAAACGAAGAAACUAAUCUAAUGGAAAACUCGGAUCAAAUAAUUUCGGCUCUAAAUCUAUUGCGAUAUUUGGCAUUAAGGGAUUCGGAAAAUUUGACUGAGGUUUGGGAUUUCCUUCCCGAUGUAGAGGAUAUUUUUUUGCAACCACUAAGGAAGGGGAUUGAAUUGUCACGCGCCCACUACGAAUUGAAAAUAAAAGAGUUCGACGACGUUAAGAGUGCAAAAACGAGAGGGGACGAUAUGGAAGUGUCCGUUAGAGUAAAUGGUGAGGGUUUGCCUCAGAUUAAUAAAGAGGACCAGUUGAAAGUGUUGAAUUCAUCCCUUACCGCUUUGGAUGUUAUGCAAAGUCUUUUGACCAGGGUUACCGAGUGUGUCGCUAGUAAGUCAUUGUAGCUUUUGUAUUUUCUUUGAUUAUAACAUUAUUAAAACCAUUUGUGUGUUCUUAACGAUAACAUCGUACCCGAAGGAGCGAACAUAAACAACCAAGAAUAGCGAUAAACCAGUUGCGCCCCCGUUGCUAUGGCGUUAACUCCUAGCAUUGUGAUCGUUGAGGUUAUGUUGACAAUAGAUUUCACUACCGCCAGUAUUUAAUGAUCUGAGAAGUAAUAAACAUUUUGCCACCAAACAUUGGGAGCAUUUCAGGUCUCCUUUGGAUAUAAUAAGGUCAUUUGUUUCCUAAUAUUCCGUUUACUGAAGUUUUUCCAGUGAAUGAGAUGAAAACUGGCAAUUGAAUUUAAAAUUUUUGGCGCAUGCGCGGAAGAUCAUGCCAUUCUCGACGACAAACUGGUAGCCGCAUCGCUUUGACAUUUUUAAUUGGCCUACCGCAUUCAAUUGAAAAGUACAUUUUCACUUUAUUUAUGAUCUGUAUAUUCAAAAUGAAACCAAACAGCAAACCGACUCUACGAGAAUCAGUACGCCAACUCUUUGAUUUUAUGUAUCUGUAUGGCAAACUAUAACCUAUAAUAAAAGAGUUAAUUUCUCUACGUAAUUCGACGGAGUAGAUUACGUGAAAAAAUAGUUUUGGGACUGGGUAUUCUGCAACAAAAAACAUAAUGAUGAAGCUAGAUAAUGAACUCAUCAGUGUAUUGUGAAAUUUGAAAAAUGUUUUCAUACUUUUUGGAAGCCCCAUGCAGAUUGCUGAAUAUGAGUAUUAAUGGUGACCAAUCAGAAAAACGCAGGAAGAUGACUCUCUGAUUCUCGUAGUAAUUGCAUCAUAGUGGUAGCUAUAUAUUGCUUUUCCGUUCAGAUACGCG